rnacentral:tRNA from 1 species
GAGGCUGGGGCUCAGUGGUAGAGCGCUUGCUUAGCAUGUGUGAGGCACUGCGUUCAAUCCUCAGCACCACA